rnacentral:rRNA from 1 species
CACGAAACAAGAUGAGCUAAUUAAUAUCCCAUAUUGGUUAUUAUAUGUGACAUAAUAUUAUUAGAAUAUUAAUUAGGGAUGAAAGGUUAAUCAAAUCUUGUGAUAACUUGAUGUUUUCGUAAAGUAUUAAGUACAAUAACAGCUUAUGAGUGCGAAGGCUUAUAAGAUUUAUUAAUAAAUAUUAUUUAUGUUUGUUGGUUUAAUUGCUUGCAACUAUUAAUAAAAUUAUACUGAUAUAAGAAAUUAUAUUAAAUAGAAAACAACUUUAAAUAGUAUUUACAGUAUAUAAUGUUAUUAUAAGUAAUUAAUAGAUGUCUUAAAUGAACUUGGCAAUAUAUUUUUCAACUGUUUAUCAAAAACAUAGCCAGUAGUUAGUGUUAUUGGUAUUUUCUGCUCAAUGAUACUUAAAUAGCCGCAGUACCCUGACUGUGCAAAGGUAGCAUAAUAAAUUGGCUUCUAAUUAAAGUCUUGGAUGAAGGAAAUAAUGGAAAAUAACUGUAUCAUGGAUACUAUAUAAAAUUGCUAAGCAGGUGAAAAUUCCUGCAUUUAAAUUAAUAGACGAGAAGACCCUAGAAAUUUUUAGAAUUUGAAAUUAUAGGUUUUUGUUGGGGCAACAUUGUAACAAAUAAUUUACAUUAUGUACAUGAAACACAAUUGAAAGAAUAAAUUACUCUAGGGAUAACAGCGUAAUGUAUAAACGAUUGCGACCUCGAUGUUGGACUAGGAUACGAAAGCUUAAAA